AUUGAACGCUGGCGGCAGGCCUAACACAUGCAAGUCGAGCGAGAGGCGGACGGGAGAGAAAUGUCUGUGAAACUGCCUGAUGGAGGGGGUAAACUACUGGAAACGGAAGCUAAAACCGCAUACCUUCAGAUGUGUCCAGAGGGGCAUAGCUUGUAGGUGGGGUAAUGGCUCACCCUGGCGACGACCCCUAGCUGGUCUGAGAGGAUGACGGGCAACACGGGAACUGAGACACGGGCCAGACUCCUACGGAAGGCAGCAGUGGGGAAUAUUGCACAAUGGGCGAAAGCCUGAUGCAGCCAGGCCGCGUGUGUGAAGAAGGCCUUCGGGUUGUAAAGCACUUUCAGCGAGGAGGCGUUACUCGCAGAAGAAGCACCGGCUAACUCCGUGCCAGCAGCCGCGGUAAUAC
rnacentral:rRNA from 1 species